AGAAUCAACGCUGGCGGCGUGCCUAACACAUGCAAGUCGAACGAGAAAGGGGAGCAAUCCCUGAGUAAAGUGGCGACCGGGUGAGUAACACGUGACUAACCUACCCUCGAGUGUGGAAUAACAUCGGGAAACCGAUGCUAAUACCGCAUAACAUCGGCGCUUUUAAGAGAUGCCGAUCAAAGGAGCAAUCCGCUUGAGGAGGGGGUCGCGGCUGAUUAGCUAGUUGGCGGGUAACGGCCACCAAGGCGAAGAUCGGUAGCCGGCCUGAGAGGGCGCACGGCCACACUGGAACUGAAACACGGUCCAGACUCCUACGGGAGGCAGCAGUGGGGAAUUUUGCGCAAUGGGGGAAACCCUGACGCAGCAACGCCGCGUGGAGGAUGAAGCCCCUUGGGGCGUAAACUCCUUUCGACCAAGACGAUAAUGACGGUACUGGUGGAAGAAGCACCGGCUAACUCUGUGCCAGCAGCCGC
rnacentral:rRNA from 1 species